GUUUUGAUUAAACCCAGUGAAACUGUGCUGCUUUUAUGUAUAAAAUACAGAAACAAUACAAACUUGAUUUAAAAACCCAGGAUUCUAACCAGUAUAUAAAGACAAAGGAAGACACAGCAUGCUUCAGCCAACCAGUCACGGCUUCCACUUCUCAGCAGACCCAAGGAAAUUUCUCACCUAUCACAUCUGAGGCACCAGAUUUCUCCACAGUGGCACACCAAGCAAGCCAAGGACAUAAAUGGAGUCUAGGACACAUAGUUUCCAGCCAGCAUCCACAGAAGAAGCAAGAGCCAAUAGGUUUUGGCCAGCUGCUGCAAGGCCAGUUCUCAGUCAAGAAUUUACAGGCACCGGUUGCCACCAUGGGCCACCAGGAAACUCAAAGCAGGAGUCCAAGUGAAGUAGGGGCAGCCAGUGGCAGUGGAAUGCAGCACCUGCCCUCAAAGACUGGCAUGCAAAAUCCAGCAGCUGGUGGUAAAAUGAAUUCUCCCUCUGUGCCUCCUUCAUCUGCUCAGUAUAUAAAGAUAAAGCAAGAGACAGAGUGCUUCAGCCAACCAGUCAUGGUUUCCACUUCUCAGCAGACCCAAGGACUCUUUUCACCUAUCAAAUCUGAGGCACACCAAGCAAGCCAAGGAUAUAAACGGAGUCCAGGACACACAGAUUCCAGCCAGCCUCUUCAGAAAAAGCAAAAGGCAUCACCUUUCNGCCAUCCAGCUGUGGUUAGCAGUUCUCAGCAGCUCCAAGGCCAGUUCCCAGUCAAGAAACCUCAGGCACCGGUUGCCACUGUGGGCCACCAGGGAAGCCAAGGCAGGAGUCUGAGUCAAGCAGAGGCAGCAAGUGGCAGUGGAAUGCAGCACCUGCCCUUGAAGAUUGGCAUGCAAAAUCGAGUAGCUGGUGGUAAACUGAAUUCUCCCUCUGUGCCUCCUUCACCUGCUCAGAGUCAAAAACUGUCUAAACCACCACAGUAUUCAUCCAAGAAAAAUGAGGUAAUAAUUUUUUUAAGUAACAUUAUUAUUAAUAAGAACAAAAUACAC
rnacentral:lncRNA from 1 species